AAAAAUGCAUUUGGCUAUUAAAAAAACAUCAUUUAACACAAUCAUAUAUCAUUCAUUUUUCUAUUUCAUCAUAAACUGCAAUAGCAUAAAAUUGUCAGCAAUUCAAGAUAACUUCCUUUAUUCUAAAGUCAAAAAGGUUUCACAAUCAUUAAGGGAUGCUUCAAGCAAUCCAAGACAACUUCUGACAAAAUUCAGCUGAUGUUGCAAAGAGUACAAAGUUCAAACAUAACGAAUGAGCUGCCCCAAAAGCCUCUCAAUUACUUCAGUUUUGAGAAUAAUUUUGGUGCAACACAUUUAUCAACACAAGACCAAUAAUCAAAGUACUGUCCUGUGCAGUGCUUGUGCCCAGUAUCGUCACUUUUAAUCCUCUUAACACAUGCCUCAUAUUCAAGCAGGGGCUUCACACAUUUAGGCUUGCAAGAUUCCUCAAGAUACUUCUUUUGAUCAACAGGUUCCUCGUCUGCCCUAAAUUUAAUUAAAAGAGAAAAAGUCCAUGCAGAGAUGAGAAACAGGACAGUUUGGGAUGAAAAUGAAGUCCUUCACUGGUGUUUUGCAUGUGCACAAUAUUUGUGAGGUUUGUGAGCAAUGUGAAAAUUUAGCAUGGACAAUUACUGAUUGAACAGCAUUCCACAGUUGCACGCAAUUAAAAAGUACAAUGGAGCAAGAGAGGUUCCUAAAUAUAAAAAAUUAUAGCCAAAAGAUUCUGGUGGCAAAGAAGUAGUGCUACCAUAUUGAGAGAUCAUAACUAAUAAACAGAGAAAUACAAAAUGAAAAACAAAUAAAUACAUGUAGAUUUUCUUUUUGUAGGAUGUUCUUGUAUUUCAAGAUGGAAAUGCAGGAAAUUUUUUUUUUCCUUUACAAAGAAAGAGAGAGAGAGAAAGAAUACAAAGAAAAUUUGGUCUUUCACGCACUCCCACCAGCACACCAAAAAUGAAAUGGCAUGAAAAUGCAAAAUUCUCUGGUUUUCAGAGUCCAUUUCAUUUAGGCGUGUGUUCAAAUGUGCAUAUGUUGCUCCUUUUGAUACCUGAACAUGCAGCUAAAAUUCAUUAAGUGCAAAUGUACCCAAGUCUGAUUUUCUAUUGUCAUCAAAAUAAGUAUUGGAAACUGAAAUCAGAGACUUUCAAAGGAUGAUUUCAUCAGAAACAUUAAUAUGGCAAGUAGAUACUGAAUGCAUGUAACCCUUUCCAGCAAUGCAAGGAUGGGGAAUUGAAAUCAAUACUCAUCCCCCAACACAUGUGCCAAUAACUUUUUAUUUCCUUUCUUUAAGAAAAACCUAAAAAUUAUGGCUUGGUUAACAUUUUCCUUCAGUGUUUUCCUUAUUAACUGACAUUCAUCCCUCUUUUAACGACUUCAAAUGGCACUAUCUCAGUAGCUGCAGUACCAAUUAGUAUUAUAAUGUCCAGAUAUUAUUAUAUAAGGCAUUUUCCUGUCAUAAUACAUUGACUGGAACCCAAGUUCAUGGUAGCUAAUAGUUAACACCAAUUGCAAUGGAGUCAUCUACUAUUCUUUCCACCACACUCAUUCACGUAAACAGCUUCAACUUGUAAACAUUUAGCUACACCAAUGUUUAGCUCCAACCAAACAUAAACGGGUUAAUGCACACACAUUCGAUUGUUACAUAGUCUGACCAAACAUGUUCUAGUAUCUGCGCAUCAAGAAGUAUCACGAAAUGGUCUGCUAAAAUUGCACAUGGUACAAGAAAUAGUCGCUCAGAAAAAAAAAUGACAAGCAUAAAAAAUCAAUAAAACUUGACAAUUACAACUAUUUUAUAUAUGUAAUUCCAAUGAGAAGCCCAAAGACUAGAAGCAUUCUCAUCUAAAUAUAUGGAUACUCACAUUGAGAAACCAAAAGAAUGGCACAACAAUUAGCUCAAUGCCAAAGGAGUCUUUCCUGCACAUUGAAAGUAUCAUUUCAAGCACAGAUGUUAAUAAACCUCCCUUAUACAAGUAAAAUUUGCUUUAUAUGCUUAUAUAUCAAGACUCCAAAUUACUUCCCUUCACUUAUAUUGCACCAAAAUUAACAAAUCAAUAGAUCAAAGCCACAAUUUAUCGCAAUCAAUAGAUCAAAUCCAUAGCAAAUUUAGUUCAUUGCAUAUCGAAUACAGCAAUAAGUCUUCAAUUUCAUCAAUCGCAACUUAAAAUGCACCUUCUAAGACAGGCUUACCUUUCCAUUAAAUUAAGGAAAAAAAAAAUCCAGAAACACCUAAAGUUCUGAGACAGAGAUUUCUAAAUCUGGAGAUCAAAUUGAGCAGAAAUGAUGCGAAGAAAAGAAAGAUCGACGAUUAUAAAGGUAAAAAAGAACAGAACUUGAAAGUAAAGAGAACAAAAGGAAGUGGUACCUCGUUUGGAGAAGCAGGAAUCGGCAGCUUCAAGCCUUCAAUGAUA
rnacentral:misc_RNA from 1 species